rnacentral:rRNA from 1 species
UACGUAGGGUGCAAGCGUUAAUCGGAAUUACUGGGCGUAAAGCGUGCGCAGGCGGUUGUGCAAGACCGAUGUGAAAUCCCCGGGCUUAACCUGGGAAUGGCAUUGGUGACUGCACGGCUAGAGUGUGUCAGAGGGGGGUAGAAUUCCACGUGUAGCAGUGAAAUGCGUAGAGAUGUGGAGGAAUACCGGUGGCGAAGGCAGCCCCCUGGGAUAACACUGACGCUCAUGCACGAAAGCGUGGGGAGCAAACAGG